UACGUAGGGUGCAAGCGUUGUCCGGAAUUAUUGGGCGUAAAGAGCUCGUAGGCGGCUUGUCGCGUCGUCCGUGAAAACCUGCGGCUCAACUGCAGGCUGGCGGUCGAUACGGGCAGGCUGGAGUUCGGUAGGGGAGACUGGAAUUCCUGGUGUAGCGGUGAAAUGCGCAGAUAUCAGGAGGAACACCGGUGGCGAAGGCGGGUCUCUGGGCCGAUACUGACGCUGAUGAGCGAAAGCUAGGGGAGCAAACGGG
rnacentral:rRNA from 1 species